CUCAGAGCUGCGGGCAGCUGCGCAUCCCUCGCAUCCCGCGGGCUGGGGGGGAGGCUGAGACACUGGGGAAAUGCAGAGCGUGGCUGGGGAUUAGAAAAAAGGACUUUAAAAUCAAAAAACUACAAGUCGGUCGUUUGCAGGCAGAUGCUAGGAAGUCUGCGGAUUCACUGGUGGACGGAUUUGAAUACUGGAGGUUCAUAAUGGGAUUGAUUCUGCUCUGUGAAAACUAA
rnacentral:lncRNA from 1 species